GCUGGGCGUGGUGGCGGGUGCCUGUAAUCCCAGCUACUCUGGAGGCUGAGGCAGGAGAAUCGCUUGAAUCCGGGAGGCAGAGGUUGCAGUGAGCUGGGAUCGCGCCACUGCACUCCAGCCCGGGUGACAGAGCAAGACUCUGUCUCUA
rnacentral:SRP_RNA from 1 species